rnacentral:lncRNA from 1 species
GGGGGAACAGGGAAGGCUGCCUUUAAAAUAGGUAACGGGAAUGGGGAAAUGCGGGAAUGGGGAAAUGCGGGAACGGGGGAAUGCGGGAAUGUAGGUUAACGAAUUUUUCUUGAAACAGUCUAGCCAAAGAACGAUUUAAACACGUGUUGAAAGGAAAUCCACUGUGUUACAAUUGUUUAAAUGAAAGUGUUGGCGUGCACGGACUCUUUAUUAAUAUGACUUUGAAAACAAGAAGAAAAUAGUCGAACUACGGUAGAAGCAAUAUUCGUAGUGUUUUAAUAAUAUAAAACGGUAUAUUAAAAAUAUCUAUAUUUUAAGUGUUUUAUUACUGUGCAUUAAUACAAUAUUAUUCAAGGUGUUUUUCAGGGUGUUUGUAGUGAAAAUUUAAAAUUUAAAUAUUACUAAAAAGUAAACUCUGGUAAAUUUUUCAUGGCCCUUCUUUCAAAAUAUUUGUUUCAUGCUCCCCCCUUUAAAUAUAAUAAAUUUUCAUACCCCCCCCUCUUCCCUUGUGAUUGGACUUGCAUUCCAAACAUAUACUAUAGGUCAUAGGUGGCCCAAUCUCCUAAGCGACAGUAUAGACUUGUAUAUUAUAGCAAUGUAUAUUAUAGUAAAAAUAUGUAAUAAAAUAUAAAUUUUAAAAUGAAAUUGACUUGUCUAUUCGAUAGUGUGUGUUCUCCUUUUAUUCCUCUUUUGUUGGACUAAUAUUUUCCGAGGCUUUGCACUCGAUCAUUCUCGAUGGUACUUGACCCUUGCGAUUGGGCUGCUCUGGUGCAAUUAAUGAUUUUCGAUGGCUGGGUGUGGGGGGGAGGGAUUCGGGAAAUCCAAACAAAUCCAAUAUGGCGGGGAAAUUUAUCUUUAUCUUGUAUAAAAACCACAUGGACGAAUUCAGGGGCGUAGGAAGCGGGGGGGCACGGGGGGCACGUGCCCCCCCAAAUUUUUUUAAAGGACUAAAAGUGCCCUUUUUUGUGAUAAAAAGU